rnacentral:ncRNA from 2 species
AAUCAAGAGCAUCAGCUAUAAGCCCUGGCUUGCUGAUCGGCAACCCUCUCAACGGUAGUGGGGUGCUCCAGGUGAGGAUUCGGUUCCACACAAAUGUGCUGGAACAAGUACCGCAC